GAGUUUGAUCAUGGCUCAGAUUGAACGCUGGCGGCAUGCCUAACACAUGCAAGUCGAACGGUAACGCGGGGGCAACCCUGGCGACGAGUGGCGGACGGGUGAGUAAUACGUAGGAAUCUGCCCAUUAGUGGGGGACAACCCGGCGAAAGCCGGGCUAAUACCGCAUACGCUCUACGGAGGAAAGCGGGGGAUCGUAAGACCUCGCGCUAAUGGAUGAGCCUACGUCGGAUUAGCUAGUUGGUAGGGUAACGGCCUACCAAGGCGACGAUCCGUAGCUGGUCUGAGGGGACGAUCAGCCACACUGGGACUGAGACACGGCCCAGACUCCUACGGGAGGCAGCAGUGGGGAAUAUUGGACAAUGGGGGCAACCCUGAUCCAGCAAUGCCGCGUGUGUGAAGAAGGCCUGCGGGUUGUAAAGCACUUUCAGAGGGGAAGAAAAAGACGGAGCUAACAUCUCCGUUCUUGACGUUACCCUUAGAAGAAGCACCGGCUAACUCCGUGCCAGCAGCCGCAGU
rnacentral:rRNA from 1 species